GAUGAACGCUGGCGGCGUGCCUAAUACAUGCAAGUCGAGCGAACAGACGAGGAGCUUGCUCCUUUGACGUUAGCGGCGGACGGGUGAGUAACACGUGGGUAACCUACCUAUAAGACUGGGAUAACUUCGGGAAACCGGAGCUAAUACCGGAUAAUAUUUCGAACCGCAUGGUUCGAUAGUGAAAGAUGGCUUUGCUAUCACUUAUAGAUGGACCUGCGCCGUAUUAGCUAGUUGGUAAGGUAACGGCUUACCAAGGCAACGAUACGUAGCCGACCUGAGAGGGUGAUCGGCCACACUGGAACUGAGACACGGUCCAGACUCCUACGGGAGGCAGCAGUAGGGAAUCUUCCGCAAUGGGCGAAAGCCUGACGGAGCAACGCCGCGUGAGUGAUGAAGGUCUUCGGAUCGUAAAACUCUGUUAUUAGGGAAGAACAAACGUGUAAGUAACUGUGCACGUCUUGACGGUACCUAAUCAGAAAGCCACGGCUAACUACGUGCCAGCAGCCGCGGUAAUACGUAGGUGGCAAGCGUUAUCCGGGAUUAUUGGGCGUAAGCGCGCGUAGGCGGUUUUUUAGUCUGAUGUGAAAGCCCACGGCCUUUAGCGUGGAGGGUCAUUGGAAACUGGAAAACUUGAGUGCAGAAGAGGAAAGUGGAAUUCCAUGUGUAGCGGUGAAAUGCGCAGAGAUAUGGAGGAACACCAGUGGCGAAGGCGACUUUCUGGUCUGUAACUGACACUGAUGUGCGAAAGCGUGGGGAUCAAACAGGAUUAGAUACCCUGGUAGUCCACGCCGUAAACGAUGAGUGCUAAGUGUUAGGGGGUUUCCGCCCCUUAGUGCUGCAGCUAACGCAUUAAGCACUCCGCCUGGGGAGUACGACCGCAAGGUUGAAACUCAAAGGAAUUGACGGGGACCCGCACAAGCGGUGGAGCAUGUGGUUCAAUUCGAAGCAACGCGAAGAACCUUACCAAAUCUUGACAUCCUUUGACCCUUCUAGAGAUAGAAGUUUCCCCUUCGGGGGACAAAGUGACAGGUGGUGCAUGGUUGUCGUCAGCUCGUGUCGAGAGAUGUUGGGUUAAGUCCCGCAACGAGCGCAACCCUUAAGCUUAGUUGCCAUCAUUAAGUUGGGCACUCUAAGUUGACUGCCGGUGACAAACCGGAGGAAGGUGGGGAUGACGUCAAAUCAUCAUGCCCCUUAUGAUUUGGGCUACACACGUGCUACAAUGGACAAUACAAAGGGCAGCGAAACCGCGAGGUCAAGCAAAUCCCAUAAAGUUGUUCUCAGUUCGGAUUGUAGUCUGCAACUCGACUACAUGAAGCUGGAAUCGCUAGUAAUCGUAGAUCAGCAUGCUACGGUGAAUACGUUCCCGGGUCU
rnacentral:rRNA from 1 species